rnacentral:rRNA from 1 species
CCUACGGGAGGCAGCAGUGGGGGAUAUUGCACAAUGGGGGGAACCCUGAUGCAGCGACGCCGCGUGGGUGAAGAAGCGCCUCGGUGCGUAAAGCCCUGUCAGCAGGGAAGAAAAUGACGGUACCUGAAGAAGAAGCCCCGGCUAACUACGUGCCAGCAGCCGCGGUAAUACGUAGGGGGCAAGCGUUAUCCGGAUUUACUGGGUGGAAAGGGGGCGCAGACGGCGAUGCAAGCCAGGAGGGAAAGCCCGGGGCCCAACCCCGGGACUGCUCUUGGAACUGCGUGGCUGGAGUGCAGGAGGGGCAGGCGGAAUUCCUGGUGUAGCGGUGAAAUGCGUAGAUAUCAGGAGGAACACCGGUGGCGAAGGCGGCCUGCUGGACUGCAACUGACGUUGAGGCCCGAAAGCGUGGGGAGCAAACAGGAUUAGAUACCCCAGUAGUC